UUCUUAUCUUUGCAAAUUAAGUCAUACAGUAGUAACUUUAUAGUGAUGUUAUAACAUAACUAUUUAAUCAUUCAUGCUAUAUCAAUACUUUGGAGCAUAAAGUUAUACUAAAUAGGCAGCACUAAUUAAUAACUCUACUUGCUUCGGUGAAUGGUGGCUAACUUUUUUCGAUGAUAAUAGAAAUGCAGACUUUAUUUCUUCAGUUAGUUGAAUGUUAAGCAAUAGUAUCACUGAUAACCUAGUCAAAACUUAUGGCGCUUUCCAUUAACACGGCCAGACUGGUAAGAAC